rfam:Anopheles epiroticus strain epiroticus2 unplaced genomic scaffold supercont1.49, whole genome shotgun sequence.
UUUACAUGAUGAUAACCUUUUAUAUACCAGUUCUGCUUCUGAACCGCUGUGAAUCGAAAACCACAAAAUACCAAAACAAACUUCUGAUGC